AAAACAUUCGGACCGUCGGUCUACCGAGCAAUAUCGUGAUGCUCGGUGGAAGAGCUUUCCUGUAUCGU
rnacentral:pre_miRNA from 1 species